rnacentral:rRNA from 1 species
UACGGGGGGGGCAAGCGUUGCUCGGAAUCACUGGGCGGUAAAGGGCAGCGUAGGCGGGAUGGCAAGUCGGUCGUGAAAUCCUUCGGCCCAACCGAAGAACGUCGGCCGAUAACUGCCGUUCUUUGGGGGAUGCAGAGGAGACUGGAAUUCCCGGUGUAGCGGUGAAAUGUGUAGAGAUCGGGAGGAACACCGGUGGCGAAGGCGGUUCUACUGGGCAUUACCUGACGCUGAGGAGCGAAAGUGUGGGGAGCGAAACAGG